ACUCAAAUGAAUUGACGGGGAGGCGCACAAGCAGUGGAGCGUGUUGUUUAAUUCGAGACCAAGCGAAAAACCUCACCAGGGCUUGACAUGUAGCUGCAAGCGCACGGAAACGUGUGACCUUCGAGGGUGCUACACAGAUGCUGCAUGGCUGUCGUCAGCUCGUGGCGUGAGCUGUUUCCUUAAGUGGAUCAACGAGCGCAACCCGCACCUUAUGUUAAAUUAUUCAUGAGGAACUGCCCCUUUACAGGGGAGGAAGGCGCGGAUGACGUCAAGUCAGCACGGCUCUUACGCCCUGGGCCACAAACACCCUACAAUGGCGAAAAACAACGAGUUGCAAACCGGUAACGGCAAGCUAAUCUCUGAAAUUUCGCCCCAGUUCAGAUCGAGGUCUGCAAUUCGACCUCGUGAAGUAGGAAUUGCUAGUAAUCGCAAAUCAGCAGGUUGCGGUGAAUACGUUCUCGCCUCUUGUACACACCGCCCGU
rnacentral:rRNA from 1 species